CAAAGAAGGCGGGGGUGGGGGUAGCAGCAGAAGGAGCUACUCCCCGGCCGCUGCACAGUGACCAGAGCAGCCCGCGAUCAGAGCUCUGAACCCGACUAGUUCCUGGCUUCCUCUUCGGUUCCCUCCUCCUUCUGCAGCGACAACCCCCAGGGUCUCUCCGUAGAGCCUUCGAGAGCCCACGGUGGCCCGGGGCGCCGCGCCCUGACCCGCGCUCUAGGGUCGUGGAGGACUGCGCCCCAUCUGGGAAGACUGCGGCGCUAAGCCUCAAGUACCCCAGGGACACUGAGAAAUCGAAAAACGCGAGUCAGAGCAACUCCCGCCCCCCAGGAGCUGGGAACAAAGACCCCUUUGUUCAGCUCUGUCCCUCUCCCGAGAGACCAGAGUCCCGUGGGUGUGGUGUCGUGGAGGGGAGGAGACAGGUCACUGCAGGUAACCCGCCUCCGCCUAGAACUUGGGAGGGGGAGGCACCCCACCGUGGUGUCCUAGGUAGCAAAGGCCGCCUGGGGCUCUGGAGGGAGGUGUCCCCCUUCAGGUGCACCUGCCAGCCCCAGCUCCAAGUCAGCUGAGUGCCUGCUACUCGGAUGAUGGGGUCUCUCCAGGUGUGAGGUUUGUGAACUCUCCUCGGCUCCGAAAGGAAUUUCAGCUAUAAACAAUGAUGGACUUGCACAAAGGGUAAGGGAAAGUCACUGCCUUAAACAGAGGCUUCCAUGGCCAUCCUUGAACAGAAAAACCAUCUGGAAGGGUCCACCCAUGGAUCUGCUGUCACUCUAUCUCUUCUGUCUGCCACCUUUGCUACAUCCCAAGAAGACUUUCUGCAUCUUAAUUCUGAAUAUGAAAUGAAUAGGCUUUGUGUUUGUUUUCUCGUCGUUGUCUUUUGAGACUAGGUCACAUGCAACUUAAACUAGCCUUGAACUUCUAAUGUAGCCAAGGAAGAACUUGAACUUCUGAUUCCUGCUUCUACCUUCAAUGCUGGGACUGCAAGUCUAUGCGACUCCAUCUAGCUGCACUGGGUCAUUGGACUCCUGUUUAUCUAGUGAGUGUACCAGUAUCCCCUAAUUUCUCCAUCCAUGAACAACACUUGUUUAAGAUUCUUUACCACAUCCGGAGACAAGCCAUGGAACGCUUUGCAAAUGAUUUGAUGGCUUAGUUUUGGCUCCCUCAGAGCCAUGCCCCACAUGGAUGGUGCAGCUUCUCAUGGAAUCAUCUAUCGCUCACACUUCAUUUCUCACCAUCCUCAAAUUUUAGGCUCAGGGAAAAUAAUUUUUUUAGAAAGAUCCCAGUUUACAGUAUUCUUCCAUGGCUCUGUGCUUGAUCACACUGACCUUACCUCCUAACACUUACUUUGCCCACCAGCCACCCCUCGGUUGUAGAGCAUCAAAGCCAUGCUCGCACCUUUAAGCGACUUGUUUUUGCUGAGUUACACAGAUAUGCUGUGAACACCCAUUCACAAAGCAGAUGUUGGGUGAUGAACAAGGCAACACAAAUAAAGUAAUUAUCUCAAUUUCUACUGUCUGUUCCCCGGUGUAUUCCCAGCAGCUUACAGAGUCCUUAGUGCAUUGUGGGAACAAAAUUGUAUGGGGGAGAAGUAAGUAUUAGUUAUCAUAAUUAUUAUCUCAACUACACCAAUAGUUGUUAGUUUAUCUGGUCUUUGUUUUCUGUUUUGUAUCAACCCCUGAGGUUGUAAGUCUGUCUAUCACAUAGGCUGUACUAGGCAAUGUUUGAUAAGUGAGCAAUGAGUGAACGAAUGGAUAGGAUUCACCUAGGGCAGAUCUUUCUGUUCAACAAGUGUGAGCACUAAAGUCGUCAUGCAUUUAUUGUUCACUUAGCUCUCCAGUCUCAUGAUUUCCUCACUGAACGUGGAGGUAUUGGCAAAAGGUACACGUUCUCUACUGGUUUCUCCUGGAAUUGGAAUUAAAGGGAUAUUUUGAGCACCUACCUCUGUAUCUAAGUGAAAGACAUAAAGGGAGUUGUGGUUCAAAUUUGAAGAGGGCAUGCAGUCCUCGUGCUAACAGAUAAGUACUAGGAAAACCAGAAAUGGUAAACAGAGUUGUUUCUUCAACAAAAAGGAUGUAUAACCUGCCGUUUACCCAAAAUGCUGGAAUAAAUGUAGUUAACAGUCUGGUGACCUGUACUCUCUGUAGGGCUAGGCACAGCUGACUCCUCUAGACUCUUACGCUGAUCUAAGUCAUUCUCCUUAGACCUUUAUCUUGAGCAUUUUUUUCUCAGUCAGUCUAUAGAACCCACCUUUAUGGAAGUGAUCCCAUGUACCUAGUUUUGUUGUAGUCAUGCCUUAAGCUUUGUUGUGUACAUAGGAUUGAGAUAAUGUCACCAAAAAAUUCUUUUAAACAUGUCUAAAAAAAAUGCCCAGUGUGAGAUUCUUGAAGUUUGAACCAAAAGUAACUACUGAACUGGAUUACCUUCUUGCCUCACACAGAAUGUUACUCUGGCAGCCCUGUUGUUUCCAGACAACACACAAAUCCCCCUGUUCAUUAAAU
rnacentral:lncRNA from 1 species